UACGGAGGGUGCGAGCGUUGUCCGGAAUCACUGGGCGUAAAGGGCGCGUAGGCGGCAUGCCAAGCGUGUGGUGAAAGCCCGGGGCUCAACCCCGGGUCGGCCGUGCGGACUGGCGUGCUCGAGCACUGUAGGGGCGGGUGGAAUUCCGGGUGUAGCGGUGGAAUGCGUAGAGAUCCGGAAGAACACCGGUGGCGAAGGCGGCCCGCUGGGCAGGAAGGAAGCGUAAGCUUCCGGCUGACGCUGAGGCGCGACAGCGUGGGGAGCAAACAGG
rnacentral:rRNA from 2 species